rnacentral:rRNA from 1 species
UUAAGCGACUAAGCGUACACGGUGGAUGCCCUGGCAGUCAGAGGCGAUGAAGGACGUGCUAAUCUGCGAUAAGCGUCGGUGAGGUGAUAUGAACCGUUAUAACCGGCGAUUUCCGAAUGGGGAAACCCAGUGUGUUUCGACACACUAUCAUUAACUGAAUCCAUAGGUUAAUGAGGCGAACCGGGGGAACUGAAACAUCUAAGUACCCCCGAGGAAAAGAAAUCAACCGAGAUUCCCCCAGUAGCGGCGAGCGAACGGGGGAGGAGCCCAGAGCCUGAAUCAGUGUGUGUGUUAGUGGAAGCGUCUGGAAAGGCGCGCGAUACAGGGUGACAGCCCCGUACACAAAAAUGCACAUACUGUGAGCUCGAUGAGUAGGGCGGGACACGUGGUAUCCUGUCUGAAUAUGGGGGGACCAUCCUCCAAGGCUAAAUACUCCUGACUGACCGAUAGUGAACCAGUACCGUGAGGGAAAGGCGAAAAGAACCCCGGCGAGGGGAGUGAAAAAGAACCUGAAACCGUGUACGUACAAGCAGUGGGAGCCUCUUAAUGGGGUGACUGCGUACCUUUUGUAUAAUGGGUCAGCGACUUAUAUUCUGUAGCAAGGUUAACCGAAUAGGGGAGCCGAAGGGAAACCGAGUCUUAACUGGGCGUUAAGUUGCAGGGUAUAGACCCGAAACCCGGUGAUCUAGCCAUGGGCAGGUUGAAGGUUGGGUAACACUAACUGGAGGACCGAACCGACUAAUGUUGAAAAAUUAGCGGAUGACUUGUGGCUGGGGGUGAAAGGCCAAUCAAACCGGGAGAUAGCUGGUUCUCCCCGAAAGCUAUUUAGGUAGCGCCUCGUGAAUUCAUCUCCGGGGGUAGAGCACUGUUUCGGCAAGGGGGUCAUCCCGACUUACCAACCCGAUGCAAACUGCGAAUACCGGAGAAUGUUAUCACGGGAGACACACGGCGGGUGCUAACGUCCGUCGUGAAGAGGGAAACAACCCAGACCGCCAGCUAAGGUCCCAAAGUCAUGGUUAAGUGGGAAACGAUGUGGGAAGGCCCAGACAGCCAGGAUGUUGGCUUAGAAGCAGCCAUCAUUUAAAGAAAGCGUAAUAGCUCACUGGUCGAGUCGGCCUGCGCGGAAGAUGUAACGGGGCUAAACCAUGCACCGAAGCUGCGGCAGCGACACUAUGUGUUGUUGGGUAGGGGGAGCGUUCUGUAAGCCUGUGAAGGUGGCCUGUGAGGGUUGCUGGAGGUAUCAGAAGUGCGAAUGCUGACAUAAGUAACGAUAAAGCGGGUGAAAAGCCCGCUCGCCGGAAGACCAAGGGUUCCUGUCCAACGUUAAUCGGGGCAGGGUGAGUCGACCCCUAAGGCGAGGCCGAAAGGCGUAGUCGAUGGGAAACAGGUUAAUAUUCCUGUACUUGGUGUUACUGCGAAGGGGGGACGGAGAAGGCUAUGUUGGCCGGGCGACGGUUGUCCCGGUUUAAGCGUGUAGGCUGGUUUUCCAGGCAAAUCCGGAAAACCAAGGCUGAGGCGUGAUGACGAGGCACUACGGUGCUGAAGCGACAAAUGCCCUGCUUCCAGGAAAAGCCUCUAAGCAUCAGGUAACAUCAAAUCGUACCCCAAACCGACACAGGUGGUCAGGUAGAGAAUACCAAGGCGCUUGAGAGAACUCGGGUGAAGGAACUAGGCAAAAUGGUGCCGUAACUUCGGGAGAAGGCACGCUGAUAUGUAGGUGAAGCGACUUGCUCGUGGAGCUGAAAUCAGUCGAAGAUACCAGCUGGCUGCAACUGUUUAUUAAAAACACAGCACUGUGCAAACACGAAAGUGGACGUAUACGGUGUGACGCCUGCCCGGUGCCGGAAGGUUAAUUGAUGGGGUUAGCGGUAACGCGAAGCUCUUGAUCGAAGCCCCGGUAAACGGCGGCCGUAACUAUAACGGUCCUAAGGUAGCGAAAUUCCUUGUCGGGUAAGUUCCGACCUGCACGAAUGGCGUAAUGAUGGCGGGGCUGUCUCCACCCGAGACUCAGUGAAAUUGAACUCGCUGUGAAGAUGCAGUGUACCCGCGGCAAGACGGAAAGACCCCGUGAACCUUUACUAUAGCUUGACACUGAACAUUGAGCCUUGAUGUGUAGGAUAGGUGGGAGGCUUUGAAGUGUGGACGCCAGUCUGCAUGGAGCCGACCUUGAAAUACCACCCUUUAAUGUUUGAUGUUCUAACGUUGGCCCGUAAUCCGGGUUGCGGACAGUGUCUGGUGGGUAGUUUGACUGGGGCGGUCUCCUCCUAAAGAGUAACGGAGGAGCACGAAGGUUGGCUAAUCCUGGUCGGACAUCAGGAGGUUAGUGCAAUGGCAUAAGCCAGCUUGACUGCGAGCGUGACGGCGCGAGCAGGUGCGAAAGCAGGUCAUAGUGAUCCGGUGGUUCUGAAUGGAAGGGCCAUCGCUCAACGGAUAAAAGGUACUCCGGGGAUAACAGGCUGAUACCGCCCAAGAGUUCAUAUCGACGGCGGUGUUUGGCACCUCGAUGUCGGCUCAUCACAUCCUGGGGCUGAAGUAGGUCCCAAGGGUAUGGCUGUUCGCCAUUUAAAGUGGUACGCGAGCUGGGUUUAGAACGUCGUGAGACAGUUCGGUCCCUAUCUGCCGUGGGCGCUGGAGAACUGAGGGGGGCUGCUCCUAGUACGAGAGGACCGGAGUGGACGCAUCACUGGUGUUCGGGUUGUCAUGCCAAUGGCACUGCCCGGUAGCUAAAUGCGGAAGAGAUAAGUGCUGAAAGCAUCUAAGCACGAAACUUGCCCCGAGAUGAGUUCUCCCUGAGACUUAGAGUCUCCUGAAGGAACGUUGAAGACGACGACGUUGAUAGGCCGGGUGUGUAAGCGCAGCGAUGCGUUGAGCUAACCGGUACUAAUGAACCGUGAGGCUUAACCU